rnacentral:rRNA from 1 species
CCUCCUUUCUUCUUCCUUUCUGCCUCUUGGUCCAUGGGCGCGCGCCUGCACCAGCCAAGUAGCGUGAAUGAUGACUGCCCUACGGGUUGUAAACUUCUUUUAUAAAGGAAUAAAGUGCGGCACGUGUGCAUUUUUGUCUGUACUUUAUGAAUAAGGCUGGGCUAACUCCGUGCCAGAAGCCGCGGUAAUACGGAUGAUCUGAGCGUUAUCCGGAUUUAUUGGGUUUAAAGGGAGCGUAGAUGGGUUGGUAAGUCAGUUGUGAAAGUUUGGGGCUCAACCGUAAAAUUGCAAUGGAUACUGGCAGGCUGGAGUACAGGCGAGGGAGGCGGAAUUCGUGGUGUAGCGGUGAAAUGCGUAGAUAUCACGAAGAACUCCGAUUGCGAAGGCAGCUUACUAAACUGCCACUGACAUUGAUGCUCGAAAGCGUGGGUAGCAAACAGGAUUAGAUACCCUAGUAGUC